UACGUAGGGGGCCAGCGUUGUCCGAAGUUACUGGGCGUAAAGAGCGCGUAGGCGGGUCUUUAAGUGAGAGGUGAAAUUCUGAGGCUCAACCUCGGAACUGCCUUUCAUACUGGGGACCUUGAGUGCGGGAGAGGCGAGUGGAAUGGUCGGUGUAGCGGUGAAAUGCGUAGAUAUCGAUCGGAACACCCAUGGCGAAGGCAGCUCGCUGGCCUGCAACUGACGCUGAGGCGCGAAGCCGGGGGAGCAAACAGGA
rnacentral:rRNA from 1 species